UGAUGGUGACAACGAAUUCAGGUUCGAUAAUGAAUCCACCGUCCACGGGAUGACGAGUACAAACGUAAUACACGAUUCGGGUAACUUUCUUGAUAACUCAAUCAGCAAUUCGUCCAACGACUAACUAACUAACCAACCCCUAAUCCAAAAGAAACUGCCCUUAUAUACUCCUGUCCCCACUUCUCGGGUCAAUCUUUGUUUUUAAGGAGAACCAUAUAAUCAUUUCAUAUCUGUGUCAGGUACACGUCCCUCCCGUGACCGUGGCUACGUCUAGUGACCCGCUAUGUCACUUCGAGCCCGAACCCAUCGUCAUAAAGCCAGGUUGGAACAUUAGAACUAUUUCUUAUUUUUAUUACUUAAGUGCAGCUAUAGUAAAAGUCCGGACCAGGGUAUUGGGUUUUUCUCAACAUUCCGGACGGGAAAUUCCGAUGUUCUUUCAUCUCCGACAUAUAUGUAUAUGUAUAUGCGUGCGAAUACAUGUAAUAAUUUUUUAUUCUUUAAUUUAUAAAAAUACAGUUUACUUCGCCAGGAAAAAAAAUAAAUUAAAUUCUGGAACUAUUAGAUAUAGAUUUAGUUUUCUGUAAUAAUUUGCAACUAUACUUGUAUUAAAUUUUUGAAGGUAGAAGUUCACACUGUUAUUUGAUCUAAUUUUCAAUAAUGGAUUUUGUUUCAAUUUCGGGUUUCAGAUUUUUAAAACACAUUACAUUUCGUUACGUAAUAUAGUACGAAUAAAGAAUGCUGAUGCCUUCAUGAUGAUGAUACUAUAUGCAUUAAGCAGUUUCACUUAAUGCCGAUGUCAGUACUUUAUGAUUGCAUGCAGGAUAAGGUAGUUGCUUUCAAGUUUGGGUGCAAGAGGCAACCUAUUUUUUCCAGAGAAGUCUUUACAGUGUUCGGAGAUAUUUUUCCGCGAUGAAAUUACGUGUUCCUUGGAAAUAUCCAAGACGAAUGAAGCAUAUGAAAAGUAUACCCAUUGACAAUGGUAGGCGUUAUCCACUUUGCGAUAUGCGCGCAAACAUUUAAACGCAAAAAAUGAGUGUUUAUAGAAUGAACUAAUCCUUUAAGUAUCUUAUGUACGAUAAUGCUAAACCUCGCUGUAUAACUCGAGAUGAGGUCUCGAUCAGAUAAUAUGUAAUUUGUAAAAUUUUAUUUAUUUUGUUACCAAACUUGUGACUUGUGAAAUUUUACUUACUAAUGAUAUUUUAUACGAGUUGGUUGGUAACUGGUGGUACAAGCGGAAAGGGGGUGAUUCUACGCGAAAAAAGAAGUCGAAAAUAUAGAAUAAAAAAUGAAAAAAAAUUUUUUUUUAAUUUUUCCAUCGAGACAACGAUCUACAGUGAGAUCCGUUAUAACGAGACGCGAUAAAGUGCACGCGUACCGAGCGAAAAUUCAAAGUCGAUUUUCUGGAAAACAGAGCCUCAAACGAAAAAUUUUUAUUCUAUAUUUUCUAUUCUAUAUAUUCUAUAUUUUCUAUUAUUCUAUAUUUUAUUAUCUUAUCAGCUGUAAAACACGUGUUCGUUGUAGCAACACUGAAGACCAGAGUUUUCUUAUACCAGAGUAUAAGGACAACUUGAUGAACAUAAUGCGUCAACAACUAGUAAAUACUCGGCGGGUUCGCUAGCUACGCUCGUAAAGGGCGUAUGGGGUAGUAAGAUGUCGCGAGUUCGAGACCACUCCUGGGCAAGCCAAGGUGGAAAACCAAAUAUCAUCUUAGAAGUAUAUACAACGGGCAAGUGAGGCCCCCCCCCUUGCCUACAAUGUUGUAGUGCUUUCUAUGAGUGUUUGGGAAGUACCCCCGGAGAACGGUUUCACUCGUUGCUGAACUACACCUAGGCCCGCCCGUGGGGUUUUAGCCGAUAAAAAUCCGCCGGAUUUCCCCACGUAAAAAAAGGGUUUUUUUUUCUUUUUUUUUUAAUUUUUCCAUCGAGACAACGAUCUACAGUGAGAUCCGUUAUAACGUACCGCAGACGUACCGAGCGAAAAUUCAAAGUCGAUUUUCUCGAAAACAAAGCCUCAAACGAAAAAUUUUCAUUCUAUAUUUUCGACUUCUUUUUUCGCGUAGAAUCACCUCUUUCCCGCUUGUACCACCAGUUACCAACCACCCUGUAUAGUUCAUGCGAGAUGCGUAUUGCGGUCUCCCUACCGACCGUUGGGUUUCGUUUGUCCAUCGUGCCCUUCCGGCUGGUCCUUUCCCGGGGUUUUUACCUGACCUCGAAGUCAUUAGAUUUACAGCUCGGGGAGGACAUGCAAUUCGGAAUUUCCUAAAGAAAGGAAUGGGCCUGUCCCUGCCAUAAACGGACGACCCAAAAUUCUGAACAAUGCGCUCAACUGUAUUUACUUACAUUUGGUACUGCCUCAGCUGACAGAUACAGUAAUACUACUGACUGAUAUUUUUACUAUGCAAUAAAAAUUUACAUUUGGAGCAUUUAUUGCUCUAUGUACUGAGGUGAAAGAAGUUUUUUUUAACUCUUAUAUAUUAUUUGAUUAUUAUGUAAUUUAUUUCUCUACAUUUUUCAAUCAAGGAUUUUAUCAUUUCUUCUAUUCACAUAUAAUUUUGACCAUAUAUCUCGAAAACAUAGAAAAUUUGUAUACAAAAUAAUUAAUUUUUUUGAGAAAUACAUAAUUUUCUUCUGUACUUAUAUUUUACUUUUGAAGUUUCUACUAGAAAUUUUAAAUUUUAAUAAAUGUCCUUGCUACUUGAUAUGUACUAUGUAAACGUCUAGUUAAGUCUGGGAUCGAAGUAGCUUCAGUCUCUCUACGUCCGCUUGAUCGAUGCAUCAUGAUUUAUGCAACCUGAUUCAUUCCUAAAUACACACGAUAAUUUGUAUCAGAGACUGCAUCUUGCUAGAAAUGCAGCAAGGCAGUUUCACAGUAUAUAAGAUACUUCAGCGAUAGAUUAGAAAUUGUAAUUACGUCACACACAAACGCACACACACGAACCUUGAAUCAUAAUACUUUUCUUUUGAACUCAUUAUCAUAUUUAUUGUGUUUCUUAUUGUAUAAUAAUAUGUUUACAUAUAUACAUAUAUGUUUACAUACGUACAUGAUAUAAUAAUUAAAUAAUAAGAAAUACAAUCGUUUGACAAAAUAAUAGCGUUUGUUAUUUUUGUUCUUUAAUGUUUUGGCGAUUUUUAUUAUAAAACGAUUAAGUAGGAACAAAAAUACGAACAAAGGGGAGAUGUUUUUAGAUCAGUUAGUAAAAUUGUUACUUCCGCUUGAGUUUCAUUCGGCACAAUUAUGUAUACCAGGGCACACUUCUACUGCGUGAUCCUGAUUAGAGAAGUUGAGCUGUCAGAAUACAUGCACGAUCGUUUAAAGUAUUCAUCAUAACGAUUUUUGUCGUCUUAUUAUCAUAUAAUGUAUCCAUUUGUAUUUUACUUUCGAUAUUGAUAAUAAGAAAGUAAUCAGGUUUCUGAUUUAAAAAAAUUAUCGGUUUUGAAAACUAUAAACGUACGAAAGAGUAAAUGUAGAAUGUAGAAUAUUAGAUCCAUUAUUUAUAUACACGCAGUAUAGCUCAUAAAUUUAACAUAAAUAAAAUCAAUAUUUUCGGAUCUUUUUACGUAAGCAUACAUUAUUGUUACAUUUUUAAUUGAACUUACACCAAACUGUUAGAAAAAAUCAUUUUAAAUUGCACAUUCCUUUACCGACCGAGUUGGCGGAAUUCCUUGAUCUGUUCGUUGAUACGUACAGAUGGCAGUACAGCAUCGUCCUGUAAUUCAUACUAAAAUUUUAAGUAAUAUCGAUGUACAUACGUAUUACACAUUAAAAUUUGUUAGCAUUAUCAUUUUCUCUUACUAUUUUUACAUGUAUUGCUUGUACUAUUUAAUAUAUCCAUUUACUACGCUAGACAUACUUAACAUUGAACUUUAAAAUACAUUUAUAAACGUGUUAAACAUGUUUGUUUCAUACCGCUCUUGUCACAAGAUGGUUUUAUGCAAAAAAAAAUCAACUAUAAAAGUAGCCUUACGUUCCCAUCAGAGCUAAACAAUACUAGAUCAAACGAUAACUGAAACUGGUUUUAAAGUAUGCAUAUUUACAAUUACAUAAAUAUACUAUGAAUAAUUAAACUGAACUCGUAAAAAUUGGUAUUUUUGUAUACUAUUGUACUGUAUUCAACAUUUGGAUAUUUUUAAGGCAGAUGAUUUAUGGUAGGGUGAUGGGGGUUUCCUGUUUUGUGCUCACCACGUAUAUUGGAUGAGCCACGGUCGAGUCCCCGCUCUUGACCACGGUGUCUUUCUUGGUAGUUGGACAUCUCAAGGGACACAAGCUGGGUCGUUUCAGGGUUAGGACACAAUAACGUGUAACGUAGUGACACUCAGGGUAGUAAGGGAGAAGGAGAAUGCUUAUGGGCGGUUGAACGUGCCUCGGGACAGAAACGGCGAAGGGGCUGAGAGAAGAGAGAAAUUGAAUGUAAGACAGAAAGCGAUACGAAGGGUAAAAGAGUGGAUUUAACGGAUACGCAAGGGGCGGUAGGUCGUUGCCCGGCUGAGAGAAGGGGGAAAGCCGGCUUGUAACCUCCUACCGAACGCCUACGUAGAGAGGCAGAGUACUACUGCUCUCACACCACAAGAUUUCCAUGCUACCUUUCCAAGGUCAACGGCUUGAGGGCUCAAAGACCCCUGGAAACUGACUUCUAUGGCCCGCGAGAAUCUUUAGUAUCUACUUUUCUCCUGUAUCUUGGUCCUCGUCUUUUCUAUGGAAUCUCUAUAAUGCACGCACAUUUUUGGUCAACAUCCUACACCAAAGGUUUUAUAUUUCUCUGAAAUACGUUCGAGUAAAUGUGUUCUUGAAAAUAUUACAAGCUAACAGUAUCUGAAUUGUUAUGUUUUCCUUUUCAGUAAUAUCUUUCAUAUAAAUAGUUUUAAGAUUACUUAAUCUUGUAUAUCGAAUGAAUCACGAAAAUUUAGUUUUCGCUUAAGAGGCGUAAUUAUCACUGAAUCAUUGUGUACUUAGGAAAAGUUUGUGAUCGUGCCUGGUUUCCUUGAAAUCUUUUGGCAAACAUGAGUCAGUGGCUAUGUUUUCACCAGAGGAUUUUGAACUACUACGUCUCGUCUGGGUGAAAUGUUUGAACCGAGUCAACCAAAGGUUGCUGGAGGUUACGACCUAACUCCUUUUUUCUCCCCCUUUCCCUGCCCUCCCCAUAAAACAUUUUGUACGUCUUCGACGCACAGUUUACCUUUCAUCCCCCGAAAUCCUUCGCUCUUUUUUUGUUUAAGCGACCAGACGGUUUUCUUCUUGUCUGUUUGGACUCCAUUCGCUAUUAUAUACGCAAUAUGUGUCUUGUACAUUAUGUAUAUACACAUGUACAUCACAAAACAAAGACGAGAUGUAUGUGUGCAGAGGUAUUAAUUCUUUCGCUCGAUGCUUUAUAUUCAAGGGACAUAGAUCUCUGCAUUUUUACGAUUUCAAGGUUAAAAGCUGAAUGAUUGUUUCUUAUCACUAUUGCGACGUUUUGUACACAAAGAUCUUCUGCCGUUAUGGAAAUAUAUUUUUGAAAUUAUCCCUUAAAUGUACAUAUAUGCAUUCAACUGAAAAAUCAAUAUUUUUUGUUUUUUGUCGUAUUGAAAAUUAGGUUAUAGUUCUGAAUAAUAGAUUUAAUUUUUUAAGUAAAGUUACAAAAAUAGGAUUUUGCAAAAUUAUUAAUGUAAUUAUAUUCUUGAUAAUAAUAAUCAAUAAUUUAUAUCUUUUACUGCCGUUAAUAAGACAUUUUACAAUGGAAAAUGUUUCCUGUUAAUCGCAAAAAUGAUUCCUGAUUCCACAUAUAUGAGAUUUUUUAAAUUACACCAUUUACGUAUAUGCGCAAAUGGCACUGAAAGCUUUGCUCAGAACCUUAAACUUCACUUGCCAAGUACGUCAACUCAGUAUCAAGAUUAAAAUAUUUCAAAGAUAUUUAUCAAGACCUAGGUAAUCUAAGGAUAAGAAUCGUAAAUCAAAUUUGAAUUUAAUAUACCAGUACAAGAGAAUCAUUCUCUCCAUUCUAUGAUGUCAUUGUUAAUAAAUGAACUUUGACGUUAUAUCUCUAAAUCAUUUUUUCGUAACAUUUGUUCAUAAGAUGUAGGUCACGCAAUCCCCUUCUUGCACCUAUCCUAGACAAGAGAAUCUAGGUUGUGGGCAGUACCGGGGUGCAUAUACGUAUCGAUCGUUGAACGGCGUUGCUGCAGCCUGGCCUGGUGCACCGGCGAAACUGGGUUACCUACCUAACCUAUACACAUCAUUCGCGGAUCUUGUUCCUUGUUUGAACGAAGCCGAGCACGCCUCUUGUGUUUCCUCUUUUCUCUGUAUUCACACGUUCGUGCAUUUUCGCCCACACAUGGGAUACACUCGUGCAUCUUCGUGACUGCUCGUACUUCUCUUACUUCCUCUGUUUGCUCCAUCGCAUCAUCUUGAUUGUCAUUAAGAAAUAUACUACACUCCUUCCAUCCCUUUUCUUGCGACAAUAAUAGAGGAACGUUCACUGUUGGUAGCAGUGUAUGCAUAUAUCCUAUGAUUACAUACAUGUUUUGAUUCAUGAAAUCAUUGUUUAUUGUCGCGUAGGGAGAAGUUUGAAUUGCAAAUGAUUGAGCAUUUCAGCUGCUUUGUCGUAUUUAUCGAUUAAACAGUGAAAACUAAUUCAUAUGAUUAUUAAAAAUUAUUUCUUAAAAGCAUAUUUAGAUAACGAUUAAUUAUGACACAGAGGAUACUAAAUAAUCAACACAUUGGUUUAACUGGCUUAUGGCUUUCGUCUUUUUAUAUUGAAAUUUCACUUUCGCUUUAACAAAUGAAAAGAUUUUUGAUUUAAGAAAGAUUUGUAUGAAACUAAUAUGAGAAAUUAUGUGUAUGGAUAACGGUACAUAUUUUCCUCAAACAUGAAAAGUUAUUUAAUGGUAGAAGAGCAUGAUUGAAUCGAAAAUGACCCAAACGAUAUAGUAGGAUGGAAAGAAGUAUAUGCGAUAUUGAAACAUUUAUCGCACUUUUAAGUAUGUUUGUACGUAUGACUUUGACGUAAAUUCUGGGAUGCAUAAUACAGAGUCAUAAUACAUAUUUGUUUGGAACGUGCGGUGCAGAAAGAUAAAGGAUGUCAAUCCACGUUUGCAGCUCUUGUUUCAAAUAUGUUCUAUUUUUUCCGUAGUAUAACUGGAUAGACUUACAAUUAAUAAAUAUAUUACUUAUUAUCUCCCGUAGAAAUAUUUUGUGAGAUUUUUGUAAGAAAUCUUAUGAUUAAUUGUAUUAUUUGUAAAAAUGUCGAUAUUACGCCAUUGAACUUUCAUUCAUACAAAAUAUAUUGGCAUUAAAUUAAGAAUUUAAUAACUAAGUCCUUUAACAUAAUUGUAGAAAUCUGAAUAUUUCCACUAUAAAAAUGAUUGCCAAGCUUAUAUCGUUUAUAUAAAUCAUAGAUCGUUUUUAUUACAUUAUAAAUAAAUAAUUUUAUUUGAGAAAUAUAAAUUCGCCAAUAUUAUUAAUGAAAGAAAUUAAUCAUUCAGAAUUUACGAGAAAGUAAUUUCUAUUGUAUUUAUGUGAAUUUUUAUUAUUUUAAAGAUUUUAAAGAAAUUUUACUGCUGAAAAGAUAAAAUUUUUGGAAAUUCUGAAAUAUUGUUAUUAACAUUUGAAGAAUAUUUAUUCUAUGUCCAAGCACAUUUGAUUCUCACCGUAAUACAAAGUAUAAACAGACGGGUGUGACAUCGUGGCGAAGUUAAGGUGAAUUGACUAUAUGCGCGCAUGCACAAGGCUGCACGUCAUCUUACCCUCAAGUGUCGUGGGGCUGCGCCUACUGCAUUCAUGCGAGUUGAAGGGUCUGCCGUGUCGACGUCCAUUACGCAUGCGCAGGGCUUUGCACUCUGUCCACUGGUCUGCGCACGCGGCUGUACCUUCGACUCGGUGUGGGUUUGGCGUUUGACUACUUUUCAGGGCCGUAUUACAACACGUGUAUUUAACAGUUAUGAAAUUUGAAUUCUUCACUUCGCUACUCAUAUAAAAUGACAGACCUAACUAUACUAAGUAAUGUUAUUUAAAAAAUAUCUUUCCAACGUGAUCAAAAUCUGAUAUAUUUAUAUACUUUUGUAUAUUUGAAAGUAAAAACUUAUUUGAAGAGAUUGUA